rnacentral:lncRNA from 1 species
UGUAAGCCCAGGAGUGAUUAAGGGCAGCUGGAGGUUAAAAGCAAGAUGGAAGUUGGUUAGAUCAGAUCUCUUUCACUGUCAUAAUGUCUUCACUGUUGCAAUUUUUGCAACUUCCCUCAAAGCGAUAAGGGAAAGGAGUCCACCUUGAGCUAAUGACAAAUCUUCCACUAGCCCACACUCUUCACUGCUUCCCCAGUGUAUGUGGAGAGAAAUCAAAACAACCUAUUGAGGCUUUUAAGCCCGUCUGCUACAAACCCCAAUUUAUGUCCCACAUUAUUCCCCUUUACUCCAUCCAUGCAUCCCAGAGUUCCAGCCAAUCCAAGCUGCCUGCACAUCUCCAUUUGGACCCCUUAGGUGAGAAGAAUUGGGGCUCAGAGAUGCAAGCCAUUUGCCACAGUCACCCUGCUUGAGAGCAGCAGAGACGGAUAUCAUCCUGGGCUUUUCCCACAGGGCCCAUUGUCCAAGCCCAACACCCAUCAUAUUGUAACCUCCCAGCAGGUUCUUCCUGCCCGCUACUCAAACAAAAUCCAUUCACCAAGACCAUGGCAUUGCAGUAAAGAGAGAGUAUAAUUGACACGAAGCUGGCCACGCCACAAGGGAGAUGGAGUUAUUACUCAACUCAGUCUCCCCGAAGGCUCAGAAGUUAGGAGUUUUUCAUAGAUAGUUUGCACAGGAGGAAGUUUUUCUCUGAAGUUCCUUUUUCUGCUUAAAGUCUGGACCUGCCAAAGAAGAAAACAGUAACCUCUGGUCCCUUCCCUGAGUUUUCAUUAACGGAACUCAUAUCGCGGGAAGAAAGACUGAAUUCUGCCAACCAACCUGGACAGACGUGUCACACACCAUUGUCCGCUCUGCGGGUCCCACAGACUUUGUCCCAGGCCAUGUGAACCUUCAGAGGGUGAGGGAAAACUACAGUUUUGGCUCUGUGAGCAGGGUCACCAAAGUCUCUCUGUUUGAAGCCGCAGUGAAGGAAUCCAGGACCUGAAAAGCUGGCAGAAAGGAAAGAAAUUCUUAUCAGCCAGGCUUCCAGACUCUUUCUCUGUGGAACCUGUUUAAGCAGACAGUAAAAAUCACAAUUUGUUCUUGUUUCUUCUCCAAAAUCUUGAUUAAUGGGAAAAAAAGGAUUUGCGUGACUAGUCCUGAGUAUAGUGACUCUGGUGUACUUUUUGGUAUGAACAUUCAUAUUGUUUGAGACAUUUCCUCCCAGAAAUAGUGUUUUUCUCUGUCUUUGUCUUUCUGUGUUGUUCUGUUAUAAAGAGGGUACCAUAGGGUAGAACACAGGCCUAAAACCCCUAUACGCCUGUUGUUCAAGC